rnacentral:ncRNA from 1 species
CGAACUCGGGUCUGUGGUUGAAAAUCGAUGCCAGCUGCGGGCAAAGCGAUCCACGUAAGCCGUUCAAAGAGCGGUGAUCAUGGGGCAGUUUAGAGGUAAGACCGGCCAGGCACUUGCUUUGUAGGAAAGACAAACUUCGGUUGCGCAUCCGUCAAAUGUAAGAUUCCUGAGAGGGGUAGUAGUGGGGAGGCAGAUAGCCUUAGGAGCGAACCCUCCAGCCGGCGGAUGUGGGGACAAAGACCAGGUCAGCCGAUGCUG